CGAACGGGCGAGUAACACGUGGGUGACCUGCCCUUAGCUCUGGGAUAAGCCUGGGAAACUGGGUCUAAUACCGGAUAUGACUCCAUGACGCAUGUUGUGGGGUGGAAAGCCUUGUGCGGCUAGGGAUGGGCCCGCGGCCUAUCAGCUUGUUGGUGGGGUGAUGGCCUACCAAGGCGACGACGGGUAGCCGGCCUGAGAGGGCGACCGGCCAGACUGGGACUGAGACACGGCCCAG
rnacentral:rRNA from 1 species